ACACUCCUACGGGAGGCAGCAGUGGGGAAUAUUGGACAAUGGGCGCGAGCCUGAUCCAGCCAUGCCGCGUGAGUGAUGAAGGCCCUAGGGUUGUAAAGCUCUUUCACCGGUGAAGAUAAUGACGGUAACCGGAGAAGAAGCCCCGGCUAACUUCGUGCCAGCAGCCGCGGUAAUACGAAGGGGGCUAGCGUUGUUCGGAUUUACUGGGCGUAAAGCGCACGUAGGCGGACUAUUAAGUCAGGGGUGAAAUCCCGGGGCUCAACCCCGGAACUGCCUUUGAUACUGGUAGUCUUGAGUUCGAGAGAGGUGAGUGGAAUUCCGAGUGUAGAGGUGAAAUUCGUAGAUAUUCGGAGGAACACCAGUGGCGAAGGCGGCUCACUGGCUCGAUACUGACGCUGAGGUGCGAAAGCGUGGGGAGCAAACAGGAUUAGAUACCCCUGUAGUCCCAUGA
rnacentral:rRNA from 1 species